GGCGGACGGGUGAGUAACGCGUGGGAACGUGCCCUUUGCUACGGAAUAGUCCCGGGAAACUGGGUUUAAUACCGUAUGUGCCCUUCGGGGGAAAGAUUUAUCGGCAAAGGAUCGGCCCGCGUUGGAUUAGGUAGUUGGUGGGGUAAUGGCCUACCAAGCCGACGAUCCAUAGCUGGUUUGAGAGGAUGAUCAGCCACACUGGGACUGAGACACGGCCCAGACUCCUACGGGAGGCAGCAGUGGGGAAUCUUAGACAAUGGGGGCAACCCUGAUCUAGCCAUGCCGCGUGAGUGAUGAAGGCCUUAGGGUUGUAAAGCUCUUUCAGCUGGGAAGAUAAUGACGGUACCAGCAGAAGAAGCCCCGGCUAACUCCGUGCCAGCAGCCGCGGUAAUACGGAGGGGGCUAGCGUUGUUCGGAAUUACUGGGCGUAAAGCGCACGUAGGCGGACUGGAAAGUUGGGGGUGAAAUCCCGGGGCUCAACCUCGGAACUGCCUCCAAAACUAUCAGUCUGGAGUUCGAGAGAGGUGAGUGGAAUACCGAGUGUAGAGGUGAAAUUCGUAGAUAUUCGGUGGAACACCAGUGGCGAAGGCGGCUCACUG
rnacentral:rRNA from 1 species